rnacentral:rRNA from 1 species
UCAGGCGGUUACAGCGCCGGGGUUCCACCUCUUCCCAUCCCGAACAGAGAAGUUAAGCCCGGUUGCGCCGAUGGUACUGCGCACAGUGGGAGAGUAGGUAGCUGCCAGCU